rnacentral:lncRNA from 1 species
AGCCUUUUACAAGUGGGGAGAUAAGGUCAGCACUGAUUAUCCCAACCCUUAGCCUCUUUCACAUUUUUAUUUUAUCUGUAUGGCCCCCAGUGUCAUUUCAGUUCAAGUGAACUGUGGGGAAAAGGCUUUGACCUCCUAACAGAUUUUUGGUCAUCUGUAAUUUACCUAGAAUUUUGGAUUUUGCAGCCUCAGUCCUCCAAACCAUAGGAACCAAGUAGGAUUGCGAACAUUGCGUUUUACCAUGAAAAUAUGUCCAUUCAAAACUAUAAAUAAAACAAUUGCCUUCUUUUACUACUGUUUUAUGAAGUGGCAGUGUCACACCAGAGAUUAAGGGAGACAAUCAUGUAGAGGAGGCGUACCCAAGGAAAGGCACACGUGGUGCAAGUGGGAGAAAGCCUCUCACAGCCGGCUCAUGCGAAAAGGG